GAAGUACUCCCUCCGUUCGGAAUUACUUGUCCAAGAAAUGAAUGUAUCUAGAUGUAUUUUAGUUGUAGAUACAUCUAUUUUUAUGACAAGUAAUUCCGAACGGAGGGAGUACAUG
rnacentral:pre_miRNA from 1 species